rnacentral:pre_miRNA from 1 species
AGCCUCCUGUAUCCGUGUUGAGAUUUCGUCAGCGAUCAGUCCGUUGUGGCUGAUGCGACUUCCCACAAAAUAAAUGAAGUG